GACGAACGCUGGCGGCGUGCUUAACACAUGCAAGUCGAGCGGUAAGGCCCUUUCGGGGUACGACGAGCGGCGAACGGGUGAGUAACACGUGGGUGACCUGCCCUCAGCUCUGGGAUAAGCCUGGGAAACUGGGUCUAAUACUGGAUAUGACUCCACGGUGCAUGUCGUGGGGUGGAAAGCCUUGUGCGGCUGAGGAUGGGCCCGCGGCCUAUCAGCUUGUUGGUGGGGUGAGGCCUACCAAGGCGACGACGGGUAGCCGGCCGUGAGAGGGCGACCGGCCACACUGGGACUGAGACACGGCCCAGACUCCUACGGGAGGCAGGCAGUGGGGAAUCUUGCGCAAUGGGCGAAAGCCUGACGCAGCGACG
rnacentral:rRNA from 1 species